rnacentral:rRNA from 1 species
UGGCUCAGGACGAACGCUGGCGGCGUGCCUAAUACAUGCAAGUAGAACGCUGAGGACUGGUGCUUGCACCGGUCCAAGGAGUUGCGAACGGGUGAGUAACGCGUAGGUAACCUACCUCAUAGCGGGGGAUAACUAUUGGAAACGAUAGCUAAUACCGCAUAAAAGUGUUUAACCCAUGUUAAACAUUUAAAAGGUGCAACUGCAUCACUAUGAGAUGGACCUGCGUUGUAUUAGCUAGUUGGUGAGGUAACGGCUCACCAAGGCGACGAUACAUAGCCGACCUGAGAGGGUGAUCGGCCACACUGGGACUGAGACACGGCCCAGACUCCUACGGGAGGCAGCAGUAGGGAAUCUUCGGCAAUGGACGGAAGUCUGACCGAGCAACGCCGCGUGAGUGAAGAAGGUUUUCGGAUCGUAAAGCUCUGUUGUUAGAGAAGAAUGAUGGUGGGAGUGGAAAAUCCACCAUGUGACGGUAACUAACCAGAAAGGGACGGCUAACUACGUGCCAGCAGC